GAUGAACGCUAGCGGCAGGCCUAAUACAUGCAAGUCGAGGGGUAGAGUUAGCUUGCUAACUUGAGACCGGCGCACGGGUGCGUAACGCGUAUGCAACCUACCUUUAUCUGGGGGAUAGCCCGAAGAAAUUCGGAUUAACACCGCAUAAAAUCACAGUAUCGCAUGAUGCAAUGAUCAAAUAUUUAUAGGAUAAAGAUGGGCAUGCGUGUCAUUAGUUAGUUGGCGGGUAACGGCCCACCAAGACCACGAUGACUAGGGGGUCUGAGAGGAUGAUCAGCCACACUGGGACUGAGAUACGGCCCAGACUCCUACGGGAGGCAACAGUGGGGAAUAUUGGACAAUGGGCGAAAGCCUGAUCCAGCAAUGCCGCGUGAGUGAUGAAGGCCUUAGGGUUGUAAAGCUCUUUUACCCGGGAUGAUAAUGACAGUACCGGGAGAAUAAGCCCCGGCUAACUCCGUGCCAGCAGCCGCGGUAAU
rnacentral:rRNA from 1 species